AGGGGAGGGGAGAAAAUGGCCGCGUCUGGCUUCCGGUUUUUCAGUUUUUUUUUGUCGGGGGGUUGAAACUGACACACAAUGAUUCGGGAGGAACAACGGCCUGAGAAAACACGGCUUCUGUAAAUAAACACAACAUUCAGGCGGCCCGACAAACAUGGAGGAUCAGUGCACAGUACAGGUGAAGCUGGAACUGGGCCACCGCGCUCAGCUGCGGAAGAAAGCCACAUCCGAAGGCUUCACGCACGACUGGAUGGUGUUCGUACGAGGGCCCGAGAACAGCGACAUCCAGCACUUCGUAGACAAAGUCAUCUUCCGCCUGCAUGACAGUUUCCCAAAGCCAAAGAGAGUGUGUAAGGAGCCUCCAUAUAAAGUAGAAGAAUCAGGAUAUGCAGGAUUUCUCAUGCCUAUAGAGGUCUACUUUAAAAACAAGGAGGAGCCAAAGAAGGUUCUUUUUAACUACGACCUGUUCCUGAACCUGGAGGGGAACCCGCCUGUCAAUCACUUGCGCUGUGAGAAACUCACCUUCAACAACCCGACCCGAGACUUCCGCAAGAAACUGGUCAGAGCUGGAGGAAUUAUUGUGGUACCCGAGGGGGCGGAGCUGGUGUCCAGACCGAGUCCAGACUACCCCAUGCUUCCCACAAUCCCUUUGUCCGCCUUCUCCGACCCCAAGAAGAGCAAAAGUGGCCAGGGGCCCAAGGAGCUCAGUAAAGAAAACAGCAACAUAUCUAAAGCCCCCAAACCCCACAAACUGGCCAAGGAGCAUCGUGAGCGUCCUCGGAAAGAUUCUGAAAGCAAGAGCUCGUCUAAGGGAGAUGCAGAACGAGACGGCAGCAGUAAAGGCAGCCGUGAGCCUUCGUCAUUCUCCUUGUCCUCCUCUACGAAGAAGCCUGAGAUCAAAGUAAAAGAAGAGAGCAAAGCGCCGCCCAAAGCCGCUUUCAAAGAGCCCAAGCUGACGCUCAAGGAGCCCAAGAUGGAAGGAACGAGCCCUAAAGGAGGUGGUCCGGGUGGAGGAGGAGGAGGCGGUGGAGGAGGCGGAGGGGCCGAGAUCAAAACGGGGAGCAAGCGCCCUUCCAAUGCCGAUUCCCCCAAGUCCAGCGUUAAGAAACCCAAAAAGGGAGGAGGAGAAAACCAGAAAAGUUCGGGAGGCGGGGGUUUUCCAGGCACCUCCCCCCGGGUCUUGUCGUCCUCUUCCUCCUCCUCCAUGGCUCCAGCGCCGGGUUUUGGAGACAAGAAGAGCUCGAAGCAAAGAGCGUCAUGGAUCAAGAAUAAACCCGAGACCCCGGAGGUCAAAGAGCAGAAGAAGCUGCCCGAUUCGGACGAGUCGAACUCUGACGACGAGCUAUCGUCCAAGUCUGAGGUCAGAGCGAGAGCAGCGCUGCAGAUGCAGUCUGCACCCUCCAGUCCAUCAAACUCUAGUUCCAGUUCGGAGUCCAGCUCUGACUCCGACUUUGAGCCGCAACAGAAACAAGGCCAAGGACCUCUGCGCUCCAUGGUGGAGGACAUGCAGUCUGAAGAGUCUGACGAAGAUGACAGCAGCUCAGAUGACGAGACACCAGUGAAGAACAAUCCUCCUAACCGUGACUCAAGGUUGAGUUUAGACAGCGAGAGCGACAGCAGCGACGGACCUCACCGGCCGAGUCGAGACCCGCCGCCCCCUGCGCCCAAACACACCUCCGCCUCCAAUAAUAAUAAUAAGGUGACGGGGAGGAAGAGUCCCGAGCCGUGUCUGAGGCAGGAGAAGGUUAUGAAGAAGGGCUACGACAAGGUAGGAAGGCAGUGACCCCGAGUUUUACACACUGUUUUUCCAGCACAAGUGGGGGCACAUUUGCAUAUUAUUUACAUACUCUACUGUGAUUGGUCAGUGGUUUCAAUUAGCAUACGGCAUAACCAUUCUUUUUGUUCGGUUUGUAUACGAAUCUCUGAAACGUCCUUUUGCUAAAACCCUUACAGACGUUUUAUACUUUUAAUAGAAGUUUUACGAAAAACGUAGAUGAGUCUCUAUAUUAACUGUAACCCUGAACACAAGCAGCGGCAGCAGCGUCAUGGAGUCAUUUGUUUUAUUUAAUUAUUUUAAAUUAUUUUCAGGUUAAAUGAAGCUCCAAAUUUAGUAAAAGUAAAAUCAUAUAUUUCCUAAAUUGUAAUAAAAAUAGCAUCCUAAUAAAAACGAUCGAUUAAAGAUUGAUUUUUUUCGGGAUUGUACGUAAUUUGAUUAUAAUAUAAUGUAUAAUAGACCAUUUAUUUUAUUUUUAUUUAUUUAACUUUUUUUUUUAUUUUUUAUGCAGUUUAAUAAAAAAACACGCAAAACAAAUCCUGCAAGGAAGCGUGUGUGUGUGUGUGUGUGUGUGUGUGUGUGUGUGUGUGUGUGUGUGUGUGUGUGUGUGUGUGUGUGAGACUGUAUUAUAACCUCAUUUCAGCCUCCUUGACAGUUGCAUUACAGAAAUGAAGCGAUGUUAAUGAAUGAAUAUUAAUCAGCAUUGUGAUUGGGUCCUGCUUAUGAAUAUUCAUUACUAGUGAUUAUGUAGACAGAGAAGAGCAUCAUUUAUUACACCAAUUAAUACCCCGGCAAGAUAAAAUCACAUCCAUGAUUCUGUUGUAUCUUAUUAUAUAGUACUGAUACAGACUGAUGACGAUAAAUCCAGAUUUUUCCCCUAUGUCAUUUUUGUAUCUUUCUCUCUCUCCUGUUUUUUCUCUCUCUCUUUCUUUUUGUCUCUCCCUCCCUUUCUCUUUCUAUCUCUUUCUUUCUCUCUCUCUCUCCACCCCUUUCAUUCUCUCUCUCUCUCUCUCUCAGGCAUACACAGAGGAGUUAGUGGACCUCCAUCGCAGACUAAUGGCACUGCGAGAAAGAAAUGUCUUACAGCAGAUCGUGAACCUGAUCGAGGAAACGGGCCACUUCAACGUCACCAACACCACCUUCGACUUCGACCUGUUCUCGCUGGACGAGUCGACGGUGCGCAAACUGCAGAGCUACCUCGAGGCCACAGCCACGUGACAUGAAGCGGGGCGGGUCCGAAGGGGGGGCGGAGCUUGCCCUCAUUCUCCACACCGAGCUUGAGGGUGGGCUCAAAGGCACGGCUGGAGGAAAAGCAAGAGAAGCGGCGGCGUGAACAGAAUCAUCGGCGAGGCGUCAGGAAGACUAAAGCACAGAGAGACGGCGAGAGAAGGAACGAAGCGACGACGUCGGGGUGGCACUUCCUGUCCGAGUGGUGGCGACGUUCUCAGAGCUGCGUGAUGAAGAGCACGACCGACCGCUCGCUUUUCAGUUUGCCUCACCACGCAAACUACAGCCUGCUAAAAAGUGUGUGUGUGUGUGUGUGUCUUCAUUUUUCCUUCUCUCCUCUUCCUCCAGCACUUGAGCAUUCAUCCUGAAAGUAGCCAUGCUCUCACAUCCAGCUCCGUUUUUUUAAUAUUUUCUUUUUCAUUUUUGUACAGAAGUAUUUUUGAUGGAGGGAGACGCGAGCAAGAUGUGAGAGAUGAGCGAUCGUAGGGGUUUUUUUCUUUUGUCGCUUAGGGCUAGCGCUUAGUGCCUUUCCAUCAACCAGCCGACUGCUCGACUGACGUUCGAGAACAGUGACGAAAGCUGUUGAAAGCGUUGUGUGACCCUCGGCGUUGCUGACGACACACACACACACACACACACUCGCGUGUCCUCCUUCGGUCAUGCCUGAUGCCUGCAAAACUAGUGUUUCCCUCCGACCGCGUCCCGUGGCUUCGCGCCUCCCAGUUUCUUGCCAGUGAGUAUUAACGACUGUGUUUCGCCAAGCAGGCCUUUUAGAGACUCCUUGAAUAUUGUACAUAGAUGUGUGCAACACGCGAAAGUAUUCGGGGAUCAUGUGUUUUUGUUUGUUUGUUUUUUUUUUUUAUAUAACUUUUAUUUUAGGGUUCUCGUGGUGUAACGAAGUGCAGGCGUCCAGAGAAGUCUGUAAAGUGACGUCUCCUGAUCUAAAAGAAAUUUUGAUUGGCGAAAGUGAUGCCGUUUGUUGAUUCUCGUCGUCACGGCUACCUUCCAACCUGGGCACAUGUCAUCAGACGUUGAUGUGAUGUUCCAGGUUUAUUCAUGCAAGUCCCAGACAGCCAAUCAGAAACGAGCAUUUCCCAGCGUACCGUUUGAGUCCGUUGUAGAAGAGGCCGCGUCUCGAAUCGCACACCGUGACCUUUGACACUUUACCACACGCGGAAGGAGACGACGAGUGUUCGUCAUCCUCGUACUUCAGUGGCAAAGAGACGGAGCAUUUCUCAUUUCACACAAAUCGGUUACGACCUGAUUAAGUGUCGAUCCCAAACGAUUCGUCUCAUAUGAUUCCUCCGAAUCGUUCGAACGAUUCCCGUGCGGUUCGACGUUUUAUCGGUUCCACACUUACUAAAAGUUCUGCAGUUUGUUGAGUAGAAAUGGAGGAACGCCGUCCAUCGUCCUGGUUGUUUUCCCACACGCUCUCUCGAGUUAUGUGAUUUGAGACGCGGCUCGGUUCGGCUCAAAGAUGCGGAGCACAAAGUACGACAAGGGAAGUCACGCUUUGAGGACAAGGAGACGCGCGCCUUCUCUGGAUGUCCGCGGCGACGGCGUUACUCUCGCGUUCCCUUUAAGUUCAGAGGGAAAUCUCGAGUCGUGUUUUUUUUUUUUUUAAUUUGGUUUAAUAUUUUUACCCCUCACUGUGACGCUCGUGUUCGUCUUCUUUCUUCUCCACGGCCGGCGUUCGGCUUUCUUAUGCUAAUAGAUUUAUGAGGACUGACAGCAGCCACGCCUUUUUUUUUUUUUUUUUUAACCCUGUGUGUGUGUGUGUGUGUGAGAGUGAGAGAGAGCGAGAGUGAGAGCGAAGAGAGAUGUAUACGCGCGUGAGUACGCAAACCAUUCAGUCCUCUAUUGUGCAUGAACUUUUGACCCGUCGUCCCCCCCCCCCCCCCCCCCCCCCCCCCCGCCCCAAAGUCCGGGUUCAUGAACUCUUCGCUUUUGACCGGACGCUUUGAACGAUUAAAAAAGGGGGGGGUGUCCACUGAAGCGGGUGGGGCUAAGUGCUGUUUGAUUGACGUCUCUGUGUGAAGCGAACCCGAGACCAGUCAGCGUGUAUGUUUAAAUAUUUUUUAUUUGUAUACCUCUGCACUUUUUUUUUUUUUUUGGCUGUGGUGACUCGAGUACUUAAUUAUUUGAACUGUAUUUUUAAAGAAAAUUUAUACGAUAUUUACAUGCAAUAUGCUUUUUACUGUAAUGUUUGUUUUUUUUCGUUUCCUCUCACUAUGAUUUCACGUCGGCAUGUUCGUGACUGCAGGUUAGACCCACGAGACUGUUAUUUUUAUUUGUCGUCGUCAGAGUUUUCUCGGGAAUCCACUACGAGCCUUCGAAGAGCAAAACAUUUCCUGGAGCGACGAAGUGGCCGCCGCUGCCGCACCGCGCACCGCUCGCCUGCACCGCACCCGUGUGACGUAACUAAAAGGAGCGUUAAACACUAAUCCUCCCUUUUCUACCUUCACGUGGACUUCGGUUUCCUCAACCUUCUCACGUCACUCCUCCGCUUCUUCACGUUUUCCGGCUACACACACGUAUGUAUAUACAGCAGACGACUCAUCGGUCACCUCACACGGUCGCUCCUUCCUCUCCGGGCGCUCCAGGUGCAUUGUGGGAUAUCACCCGGAGACUGACGGAGAGGGGUUUUCUUUCUUCGUGACACAGUGCUUGUCGUAUCUCUUGUGUUCUGGGGAUUAAACAUGUACGGACGAUGUUUUUGUUUUCUGUUUGUUUGUUGUUGUUUUUUUUUAACAUACCGGGCGCAUGGAACAAAGUCACGACUUUGUGGGGAAUUGAGUGCCACCGUGUGGUCAUCUAAUGCAAGCGCGACGACGAACGAUGUUACCUUUGUAAUGUUUUUAUCUCAUAAAAAAAGGCAUAUGAUUUAAUAAACUCAUGGAGUCGUAAUACUCACUCAUUCA